rnacentral:rRNA from 1 species
AACGAACGCUGGCGGCGCGCCUAACACAUGCAAGUCGAACGAGAAUCCGGGGCAACCCGGUAGUAAAGUGGCAAACGGGUGAGGAAUACAUGGGUAACCUACCCUUGAGAAGGGAAUAACCCGCCGAAAGGUGAGCUAAUACCCUAUACGCUAUCUUUUUUUCGAAAAGGAUAGGAAAGCCGGGUCGAGGACCUGGUACUCAAGGAGGGGCUCAUGUCCUAUCAGCUUGUUGGUGGGGUAACGGCCUACCAAGGCUACGACGGGUAGCUGGUCUGAGAGGAUGAUCAGCCACACUGGCACUGAGAUACGGGCCAGACUCCUACGGGAGGCAGCAGUGAGGAAUAUUGCGCAAUGGGCGCAAGCCUGAUCCAGCCAUGCCGCGUGAGUGAAGAAGGCC